UCAAGCUACUAAGGGCAUACGGCGGAUGCCUAGGCGCCAUCAGCCGAUGAAGGACGCGGUAAGCUGCGAAAAGCUACGGGGAACUGCAAGCAAGUAUUGAUCCGUAGAUGUCCGAAUGGGGAAACCCAACUACCGUCAUGGGUAGUUAUCCGAAAGGAAGGGAACCCGGGGAACUGAAACAUCUAAGUACCCGGAGGAAGAGAAAUCAAACGAGAUGCCCACAGUAGCGGCGAGCGAAGAGGGCAGAGGGCAAACCGGGGAGCUACGGCUCUUCGGGGUUGAGGACUGCAUUUAGUCUCAAUGGUUUAUCCGAACUACCUGGAAAGGUAGGCAAAACAGUGUAAAAGCCACGUAGGUUAAAGGCCAGAGAGAUGAGCAGUAUCCAGAGUACCACGAGGCACGAGGAAUCUUGUGGGAAGCCGGGGGGACCACCCUCCAACCCUAAACACUGAAUGGCGACCGAUAGCGCAUAGUACCGUGAGGGAAAGGUGAAAAGAACCCCGGGAGGGGAGUGAAAGAGAACCUGAAACCGUAUGUCUACAAGCAGUCGGAGCGAAAGCGACGGCGUGCCUAUUGAAGAAUGAACCAACGAGUUACGUGCACUAGCGAGGUUAAGUGGAAGACACGGAGCCGAAGCGAAAGCGAGUCUUAAGAGGGCGGAUAGUUAGUGUACGUAGACCCGAAACCGCAGUGAUCUACCCAUGUCCAGGUUGAAGCGCAGGUAAAAUUGCGUGGAGGACCGAACCUGUGAGCGUUGAAAAGCUUUAGGAUGAGAUGUGGGUAGAGGUGAAAUUCCAAUCGAACGCGGAGAUAGCUGGUUCUCCCCGAAAUAGCUUUAGGGCUAGCCUCAAGUAGUAAGUAUAGGCGGUAGAGCACUGAUCGGGCUAGGGGCCAUAAAGGUUACCGAACCCUGUCAAACUCCGAAUGGUUAUACUGUAGAGCUUGGGAGUCAGACUACGAGUGAUAAGAUCCGUGGUCAAAAGGGAAACAGCCCAGACCACCAGCUAAGGUCCCCAAUGUCGUACUAAGUGGAAAAGGAUGUGGGGUCUCUAAAACAACCAGGAUGUUGGCUUAGAAGCAGCCACCAUUUAAAGAGUGCGUAAUAGCUCACUGGUCGAGAGACCCUGCGCCGAAGAUUACCGGGGCUAAAGUACGAAACCGAAGCUGUGGCUACGACGUAAGUCGUGGGGUAGGGGAGCGUUCUGUGAGGGCUGAAGUCGUUCUGUAAGGAACGGUGGACUUCACAGAAGUGAGAAUGUUGGUAUGAGUAGCGAAAAGAAUGGUGAGAAUCCAUUCCACCGAAAGCAUAAGGAUUCCUGGGCAACGAUCGUCGUCCCAGGGUAAGUCGGGACCUAAUCCGAGGCAGAGAGCGUAGGAGAUGGACAACUGGCAGAUAUUCCAGUACCGGUAAUGAUUGUUUGAGCGAUGGAGUGACACAGGAGGGCAGGCAGGCAGGAGAUUGGUUGUUCCUGUACAAGCGUGUAGGAUGGGUUGCAGGCAAAUCCGCAACCUGUGAGUCUGAGGCGUGAUGUGGAGGUUCCGGAAACGGAACUGAAGCUGCUGACCCCACACUGUCGAGAAAAGCUUCUAGUUAGAGAAUUACCGCCCGUACCGUAAACCGACACAGGUAUGCGGGGAGAGAAUCCUAAGGUGCGCGGGAGAACCCUCGUUAAGGAACUCGGCAAAAUGUACCCGUAACUUCGGGAUAAGGGUAGCCGCUGUUGUGAAGUCUGAACAGAUGGAGCAUGAGGCGGUCGCAGAGAAGAGGCCCAAGCGACUGUUUACCACAAACACAGGUGCCUGCUAAAGAGAAAUCUGACGUAUAGGUGCUGACACCUGCCCAGUGCCGGAAGGUUAAGGAAGGAUGUCCGGAGCAAUCCAAAGCAUUCGACCGAAGCCCCGGUGAACGGCGGCCGUAACUAUAACGGUCCUAAGGUAGCGAAAUUCCUUGUCGGGUAAG
rnacentral:rRNA from 1 species